UGGGGAAUAUUGGACAAUGGGCGCAAGCCUGAUCCAGCAAUGCCGCGUGUGUGAAGAAGGUCUUCGGAUUGUAAAGCACUUUCGACAGGGACGAUGAUGACGGUACCUGUAGAAGAAGCCCCGGCUAACUUCGUGCCAGCAGCCGCGGUAAUACGAAGGGGGCUAGCGUUGCUCGGAAUGACUGGGCGUAAAGGGCGCGUAGGCGGAUGGCACAGUCGGAUGUGAAAUUCCCGGGCUUAACCUGGGGGCUGCAUUCGAUACGUGUUAUCUAGAGUGAGGAAGAGGGUCGUGGAAUUCCCAGUGUAGAGGUGAAAUUCGUAGAUAUUGGGAAGAACACCGGUGGCGAAGGCGGCGACCUGGUCCUUGACUGACGCUGAGGCGCGAAAGCGUGGGGAGCAAACAGG
rnacentral:rRNA from 1 species